rnacentral:rRNA from 1 species
UACGUAGGAGGCAAGCGUUGUCCGGAGUUACUGGGCGUAAAGCGCACGCAGGCGGUCUCUUAAGUUUGUAGGGACAGGGCACAGCUCAACUGUGUCAGGCUUACGAAAACUGGGAGACUUGAGGGCUUCAGAGGGAUGGGGAAUUCCGGGUGGAGUGGUGAAAUGCGUAGAGAUCCGGAAGAACACCAAAGGCGAAGGCACCAUCCUGGGGAGUCACUGACGCUCGGGUGCGAAAGCCAGGGGAGCGAACGGG